GGUUAAGCGACUAAGCGUACACGGUGGAUGCCCUGGCAGUCAGAGGCGAUGAAGGACGUGCUAAUCUGCGAUAAGCGUCGGUAAGGUGAUAUGAAGCGUUAUAACCGGCGAUUUCCGAAUGGGGAAACCCAGUGUGAUUCGUCACACUAUCAUUAACUGAAUCCAUAGGUUAAUGAGGCGAACCGGGGGAACUGAAACAUCUAAGUACCCCGAGGAAAAGAAAUCAACCGAGAUUCCCCCAGUAGCGGCGAGCGAACGGGGAGGAGCCCAGAGCCUGAAUCAGUGUGUGUGUUAGUGGAAGCGUCUGGAAAGGCGCGCGAUACAGGGUGACAGCCCCGUACACAAAAAUGCACAUACUGUGAGCUCGAUGAGUAGGGCGGGACACGUGGUAUCCUGUCUGAAUAUGGGGGGACCAUCCUCCAAGGCUAAAUACUCCUGACUGACCGAUAGUGAACCAGUACCGUGAGGGAAAGGCGAAAAGAACCCCGGCGAGGGGAGUGAAAAAGAACCUGAAACCGUGUACGUACAAGCAGUGGGAGCCUCUUUUAUGGGGUGACUGCGUACCUUUUGUAUAAUGGGUCAGCGACUUAUAUUCUGUAGCAAGGUUAACCGAAUAGGGGAGCCGAAGGGAAACCGAGUCUUAACCGGGCGUUAAGUUGCAGGGUAUAGACCCGAAACCCGGUGAUCUAGCCAUGGGCAGGUUGAAGGUUGGGUAACACUAACUGGAGGACCGAACCGACUAAUGUUGAAAAAUUAGCGGAUGACUUGUGGCUGGGGGUGAAAGGCCAAUCAAACCGGGAGAUAGCUGGUUCUCCCCGAAAGCUAUUUAGGUAGCGCCUCGUGAAUUCAUCUCCGGGGGUAGAGCACUGUUUCGGCAAGGGGGUCAUCCCGACUUACCAACCCGAUGCAAACUGCGAAUACCGGAGAAUGUUAUCACGGGAGACACACGGCGGGUGCUAACGUCCGUCGUGAAGAGGGAAACAACCCAGACCGCCAGCUAAGGUCCCAAAGUCAUGGUUAAGUGGGAAACGAUGUGGGAAGGCCCAGACAGCCAGGAUGUUGGCUUAGAAGCAGCCAUCAUUUAAAGAAAGCGUAAUAGCUCACUGGUCGAGUCGGCCUGCGCGGAAGAUGUAACGGGGCUAAACCAUGCACCGAAGCUGCGGCAGCGACACUGUGUGUUGUUGGGUAGGGGAGCGUUCUGUAAGCCUGUGAAGGUGUACUGUGAGGUAUGCUGGAGGUAUCAGAAGUGCGAAUGCUGACAUAAGUAACGAUAAAGCGGGUGAAAAGCCCGCUCGCCGGAAGACCAAGGGUUCCUGUCCAACGUUAAUCGGGGCAGGGUGAGUCGACCCCUAAGGCGAGGCCGAAAGGCGUAGUCGAUGGGAAACAGGUUAAUAUUCCUGUACUUGGUGUUACUGCGAAGGGGGGACGGAGAAGGCUAUGUUGGCCGGGCGACGGUUGUCCCGGUUUAAGCGUGUAGGCUGGUUUUCCAGGCAAAUCCGGAAAAUCAAGGCUGAGGCGUGAUGACGAGGCACUACGGUGCUGAAGCAACAAAUGCCCUGCUUCCAGGAAAAGCCUCUAAGCAUCAGGUAACAUCAAAUCGUACCCCAAACCGACACAGGUGGUCAGGUAGAGAAUACCAAGGCGCUUGAGAGAACUCGGGUGAAGGAACUAGGCAAAAUGGUGCCGUAACUUCGGGAGAAGGCACGCUGAUAUGUAGGUGAAGUCCCUCGCGGAUGGAGCUGAAAUCAGUCGAAGAUACCAGCUGGCUGCAACUGUUUAUUAAAAACACAGCACUGUGCAAACACGAAAGUGGACGUAUACGGUGUGACGCCUGCCCGGUGCCGGAAGGUUAAUUGAUGGGGUCAGCGCAAGCGAAGCUCUUGAUCGAAGCCCCGGUAAACGGCGGCCGUAACUAUAACGGUCCUAAGGUAGCGAAAUUCCUUGUCGGGUAAGUUCCGACCUGCACGAAUGGCGUAAUGAUGGCCAGGCUGUCUCCACCCGAGACUCAGUGAAAUUGAACUCGCUGUGAAGAUGCAGUGUACCCGCGGCAAGACGGAAAGACCCCGUGAACCUUUACUAUAGCUUGACACUGAACAUUGAGCCUUGAUGUGUAGGAUAGGUGGGAGGCUUUGAAGUGUGGACGCCAGUCUGCAUGGAGCCGACCUUGAAAUACCACCCUUUAAUGUUUGAUGUUCUAACGUGGACCCGUGAUCCGGGUUGCGGACAGUGUCUGGUGGGUAGUUUGACUGGGGCGGUCUCCUCCUAAAGAGUAACGGAGGAGCACGAAGGUUGGCUAAUCCUGGUCGGACAUCAGGAGGUUAGUGCAAUGGCAUAAGCCAGCUUGACUGCGAGCGUGACGGCGCGAGCAGGUGCGAAAGCAGGUCAUAGUGAUCCGGUGGUUCUGAAUGGAAGGGCCAUCGCUCAACGGAUAAAAGGUACUCCGGGGAUAACAGGCUGAUACCGCCCAAGAGUUCAUAUCGACGGCGGUGUUUGGCACCUCGAUGUCGGCUCAUCACAUCCUGGGGCUGAAGUAGGUCCCAAGGGUAUGGCUGUUCGCCAUUUAAAGUGGUACGCGAGCUGGGUUUAGAACGUCGUGAGACAGUUCGGUCCCUAUCUGCCGUGGGCGCUGGAGAACUGAGGGGGGCUGCUCCUAGUACGAGAGGACCGGAGUGGACGCAUCACUGGUGUUCGGGUUGUCAUGCCAAUGGCACUGCCCGGUAGCUAAAUGCGGAAGAGAUAAGUGCUGAAAGCAUCUAAGCACGAAACUUGCCCCGAGAUGAGUUCUCCCUGACCCUUUAAGGGUCCUGAAGGAACGUUGAAGACGACGACGUUGAUAGGCCGGGUGUGUAAGCGCAGCGAUGCGUUGAGCUAACCGGUACUAAUGAACCGUGAGGCUUAACCUU
rnacentral:rRNA from 1 species